GCUCCGCGGCCAGCGGGGCUGCUGGUCAGGGCGGGUUUGCGGUCUUCCUGCCGUGCAGGCUGCCGCAGCCCUCCCACCGUCCUGCUUCAUCCCUGCCGCCUGGCAGCCUGUCCGCCGGUUUAAGCGUGCCCCGGAGCUGUCAGUGCCUGGUCUAACUGUAUCACACCUGUGCCCGUCGGAUCCAACUGCGUGUUGAGAAACGCUCCUCGUCCUCCGCACCCUCACCUCCCGGAACGGAGCCUCCUCAGGCCCAGUCCGGGCUGAGCCAGCCUGCUGGCUCCUCAGGUUGUGCCCAGCCGCACAGGCCUCGGUCCCUCACCCUGGGAAGGGGGGGGCAGCCCAGCUCUUAACGGCGGCUCAGCGUCACUGAGCUGCAGCUGUCGCUGCUGCCGUAAUUACCCUUGAAUAGACACAUUCAAUCAGGCAUCUCCCAGCUCUCACUGCCCAUCGUGUCUGCAGGCUACUCAUGACGAAGUGUGUUUACGAGUUUGUGGUGCUCAAACUGGCUGAGAAACCUGCGCUGGCUCCAGAUUACAGCUGAGGAUGAAUAGCUUUAGGAUUCCCGAGGCAUGGGUGUUCUCUCUGGUGUAACAUGUCAGAACAUAUCUAAAGCUGGUGAGAAAACUGUCCUGCUUUACUGAUAAAUGGGAGGAAAGGUGAGAUAUAGUCUCUGUCUUCCCUUGCUUUGCUCCUGAUUCACCUCAUAAAUUCUGGCUUGAAUCAUGUCGUUUUCUCAUGCAACCCUUCAAGGCAGCAAUGUGAAAUAGAGGCUUAAUUUGUCCCUGUAAUAGACAUGGGCAUGGUGGCCUGGCUGAAUGUUUUUUUAACUAGUGUACCUUAAGGUUCAGUUUCAAGGAACAACAAUGGAGGCCUUUGCUAAGUGCAUAUUUUAUUAAAUAUCUUACCUGGGCAUGACAAUUUCAGUUGUAACUUGGUAAUUAAAGCAUUUCCUCAGCCUCUGAACAGCUUGCAAGAUGAACUGGCUUUAACCAGAGGCUGCAUUACUACUUCUCAUGACCUGCUUUUUCAUCUUGAGAUAUCAUCAUACUCUUUACGCAAGGUGAUCCAUAAGAUACCAGUUUAUGGCACCAAACUGCUACAAAGAAGGCAUCUGAUAGCAUUACAAAUGAGUUGAAACACACAACUGAGUCCUCAGGUCAGACUACAUUUCACCUCAGAAGUUUCUUAAGCAUAUCAGCCUUAAAAGUCACUGGAGUCUUUUCACCAGCAUCAUUUCCUGUGUGCGUAGUGGUUUGUUUAUACGUGGCUGUCUCACUCACCUGAGCACUUCAGUCAUGCACAUCCAGACUGCGACAAUUACCAGAUGAUGCACACCUGAAAACGCUUGGGCUUUCCAGAGCAGACCUGCCUCAUGGUGUUUGUCAGGAGCACACAGGUAAAAGCCAGAUGGACUUUAGAAGAUUGCCAGCUAAAUGCAGGCUUUAAGCACCAUGAUUAUCCAAUUUAUGGGCAAAGACGUUGUGUGUAUCACUGACAGCCUCAUUUACUGAAACAUUUCAGACAGCACCAAAACAUCUCCUGUGAGCAGCAGCUCCCAUCUGUACAGGAUGAGUCAUCUCAGCCUGCUGCAAUGGUAAACAAGAAGGAAUUGUACUGAGAGCACAGAUGCCUUCCUGCUACUGUUCACUUCAACACUGAUGUACAACAGGGUGGAGCAGCCACAGAUUGCCAAAGCUCUUCAGUUCCUGGGCUUCUGGUUC